GAUGAACGCUGGCGGCGUGCCUAAUACAUGCAAGUCGAGCGAACAGACGAGGAGCUUGCUCCUCUGACGUUAGCGGCGGACGGGUGAGUAACACGUGGAUAACCUACCUAUAAGACUGGGAUAACUUCGGGAAACCGGAGCUAAUACCGGAUAAUAUAUUGAACCGCAUGGUUCAAUAGUGAAAGACGGUUUUGCUGUCACUUAUAGAUGGAUCCGCGCCGCAUUAGCUAGUUGGUAAGGUAACGGCUUACCAAGGCAACGAUGCGUAGCCGACCUGAGAGGGUGAUCGGCCACACUGGAACUGAGACACGGUCCAGACUCCUACGGGAGGCACCAGUAGGGAAUCUUCCGCAAAGGGCGAAAGCCUGACGGAGCAACGCCGCGUGAGUGAUGAAGGUCUUCGGAUCGUAAAACUCUGUUAUUAGGGAAGAACAAAUGUGUAAGUAACUAUGCACGUCUUGACGGUACCUAAUCAGAAAGCCACGGCUAACUACGUG
rnacentral:rRNA from 1 species